rnacentral:lncRNA from 1 species
CCCUAGGUUCCCAGCACCACCAUUUUGCUCUCUUCCUUCCCCUCUCCACGAUACCGCGCUCUCCCCCACCCCAGCCACGGCCUCCCCGGCUUUCCUCCCCCGACUACGGCUCGCACCCCACCCCACCUCCAGUUCGGGCUCUCCCAGGCUUAAGAGCCUGCCGGAGAAAAGGCACCUAAAUCUACUGCUACACAGAGAAGCGGAGCCUCCAUCUUGCGCUGCUCCGCGUUCUCCAUUUUGGGCCACCCAUGGGGGGGUCCUCCGUGGAGGCCCCGAGGGAGAGUUGGGCGAGGGAAGGAAGAGAAAAUCUUCAGCGAGGGUAGUCGAAAAGAAGAGUCGUGCAGUAGAAAGCCACUCUAGGAGUAGGAGUGACCCGGACCUUUGACUACCUAGAGGUCUCUACGAGGGGGAGAAAACUCGGGGAGGCCCUGUCCCCUUCGAAGCGCCGCUUUUCCUAGGCCAGGAAGAAGUGACCUAUUACAGUGUCUCCAUUGCUGUUAAAGAAGUCCCCAGGAUCAUACAACCGUGUUAAGAGCGCUUCGUUCCUUCCUUUUUAAAAAAAUUUUGGUUAGAAUAUUCCUUUGAUACCGAAUUACCUUUCAGUUACAAUAAAAGCAAUCGAUGUAAAUGUAUUGACAAAUUUUUCAAAUGAGAAAUAACGAAAGCACCGUGUAAACUGUGGAGAUUUCACCCGAUAUCACGUCCAAAGCAUUUCUAAUGGAAUAUAAUGAUUAAUUUCGGCCCUCAAAUUACAUGCCUUCCAUGCCUAUCUUAGUUUCUCUCCCAUCCUCUGUGCUUACUGGGUUCUUUUUCCUGCAACUGUAAAAAAGAAUUGUGGUAUAUUUAAUCAACUGAACAAUAAAAGUUAAACAAACAUCUAAAUAUCAAUAACAAGAAAUAAAAUCCGAGACGUUUUUACUUACCUCUAAAGCUUUGAGGAGUGGAAUACUAUUCAAAAUAAAUUUCCAUUUCUUUUAUAGACCAUUUUUGGUAGAAUGUUAUACAGUUUUUAAGAGAUUCAAGUUACA